rnacentral:tRNA from 2 species
UGGGGUGUAGCUCAGAGGUAGAGCAUUUGACUGCAGAUCAAGAGGUCCCCGGUUCAAAUCCGGGCACCCCCU